AUGCACUCCCAGAACUUGCCUGCCAAGAUAUGCAUGGUAAUGAAAUCUUUCAGUAACCCCAAAAAGAACAAUUUGAAGGGGCUUGAGCCUUACACACACAAGAUUGGGUUGCCUGAAUCACGAGCCUUAUGCACUGUGUUACGAUCACCUCAUAUUGAUAAGAAAUCCAGCGAGCAGUUCUCGACAUAUGUGAAUAAGGUAUUUGUGGUUAAAAAGGCAGAGACACGUGAAUUGGCCAGGAAGUUCUUUUGGUUGAAACGGCUUCGUGUAUCGGGGGCUCAAUAUGAAAUCAAUAUUAGUUUGAAGACCCGCUUGGAUAAAAUGAUUGGCUGCAGCAAAGGUGGUGACCUUCUUCGACAGUGGUUCUAA
rnacentral:rRNA from 1 species